UACGUAGGGAGCGAGCGUUGUCCGGAUUCAUUGGGCGUAAAGAGCUCGUAGGCGGCUUGGUAAGUCGGAUGUGAAACCUCCAGGCUCAACCUGGAGUCGCCAUCCGAUACUGCCAUGGCUAGAGUCCGGUAGGGGCCCACGGAAUUCCUGGUGUAGCGGUGAAAUGCGCAGAUAUCAGGAGGAACACCGGUGGCGAAGGCGGAUCUCUGGGCCAUUACUGACGCUGAGGAGCGAAAGCGUGGGGAGCGAACAGG
rnacentral:rRNA from 1 species